GACGAACGCUGGCGGCGUGCCUAAUACAUGCAAGUCGAACGGAGCGGCGGACGGGUGAGUAAUGCCUAGGAAUCUGCCUGGUAGUGGGGGAUAACGUCCGGAAACGGGCGCUAAUACCACAUACUAUCAGAUGAGCCUAGGUCGGAUUAGCUAGUUGUGGGGGUAAGGGCAUACCAAGGCGACGCUCCGUAACUGGUCUGAGAGGAUGAUCAGUCACACUGGAACUGAGACACGGUCCAGACUCCUACGGGAGGCAGGAGUGGGGAAUAGUGGACAAUGGGCGAAAGCCUGACCCAGCCAUGCCGCGUGUGUGAAGAAGGUCUUCGGAUUGUAAAGCUCUUUAAGUUGGGAGGCGUUACCAACAGAAUAAGCACCGGCUAACUUCGUGCCAGCCGCCGCGGUAAUAC
rnacentral:rRNA from 1 species